UACGUAGGGCGAAAGCGUUGUCCGGAAUUAUUGGGCGUAAAGAGCUCGUAGGCGGCCUGUUGCGUCCGCUGUGAAAACCCGGGGCUUAACCCCGGGCUUGCAGUGGAUACGGGCAGGCUGGAGGCAGGCAGGGGAGAACGGAAUUCCCGGUGUAGCGGUGAAAUGCGUAGAUAUCGGGAGGAACAUCGAUGGCGAAGGCAAUCACCUGGGCCUGAACUGACACUGAGACACGAAAGCGUGGGUAGCAAACAGG
rnacentral:rRNA from 1 species